UCGGGGUUCGAUUAAGCCAUGCGAGUUGAGAGGGUUUAGACCCUCAGCGGACUGCUCAGUAACACGUGGAUAACCUGCCCUAAGGUGGAGAAUAACCCCGGGAAACUGGGGAUAAUACUCCAUAGAUUAGAGAUACUGGGAUGUUCUCUAGUCGAAAGCUCCGGCGCCUUAGGAUGGAUCUGCGGUCGAUUAGGUUGUUGUUGGGGUAACAACCCAACAAGCCUGUAAUCGAUACGGGUUGUGGGAGCAAGAGCCCGGAGAUGGAAUCUGAGACACGAUUCCAGGCCCUACGGGGCGCAGCAGGCGCGAAAACUUUACAAUGCAGGAAACUGUGAUAAGGGAACCCCGAGUGCCCGUAUACGCGGGCUGUCCAGGUGUUUAAAAAGCAUCUGAAGAAAGGGCCGGGCAAGACCGGUGCCAGCCGCCGCGGUAAUACCGGCGGCUCAAGUGGUGGCCACUAUUAUUGGGCUUAAAGCGUCCGUAGCUGGACUGAUAAGUCUCUUGGGAAAUCCGCCGGCUUAACCGGCGGGCGUCUAGAAGAUACUGUCAGUCUAGGGACCGGGAGAGGUGAGAGGUACUCCGGGGGUAGGAGUGAAAUCCUGUAAUCCCUGGGGGACCACCGAUGGCGAAGGCAUCUCACCAGAACGGCUCCGACAGUGAGGGACAAAAACUGGGGGAGCGAACCGGAUUAGAUACCCGGGUAGUCCCAGCCGUAAACUAUGCGCGUUAGG
rnacentral:rRNA from 1 species